UGCUAAGCCUGCUUGCCCUAACAUUCUGC
rnacentral:piRNA from 1 species